CAUGCAGUCGAACGGAACUGUUUUGAAAGAUUUCUUCGGAAUGAAUUUGAUUUAGUUUAGUGGCGGACGGGUGAGUAACGCGUGAGUAACCUGCCUUCAAGAGGGGGAUAACAUUCUGAAAAGAAUGCUAAUACCGCAUGAUAUAUUGGAACCACAUGGUUCUGAUAUCAAAGAUUUUAUCGCUUGAAGAUGGACUCGCGUCCGAUUAGUUAGUUGGUGAGGUAACGGCUCACCAAGACCGCGAUCGGUAGCCGGACUGAGAGGUUGAGCGGCCACAUUGGGACUGAGACACGGCCCAGACUCCUACGGGAGGCAGCAGUGGGGGAUAUUGCGCAAUGGGGGCAACCCUGACGCAGCAACGCCGCGUGAAGGAUGAAGGUUUUCGGAUUGUAAACUUCUUUUAUUAAGGACGAAAAAUGACGGUACUUAAUGAAUAAGCUCCGGCUAACUACGUGCCAGCAGCCGCGGUAAUACGUAGGGAGCAAGCGUUGUCCGGAUUUACUGGGUGUAAAGGGUGCGUAGGCGGCUUUGCAAGUCAGAUGUGAAAUCUAUGGGCUCAACCCAUAAACUGCAUUUGAAACUGUAGAGCUUGAGUGAAGUAGAGGCAGGCGGAAUUCCCCGUGUAGCGGUGAAAUGCGUAGAGAUGGGGAGGAACACCAGUGGUGAAGGCGGCCUGCUGGGCUUUAACUGACGCUGAGGCACGAAAGCGUGGGUAGCAAACAGGAUUAGAUACCCUGGUAGUCCACGCUGUAAACGAUGAUUACUAGGUGUGGGGGGGUCUGACCCCUUCCGUGCCGGAGUUAACACAAUAAGUAAUCCACCUGGGGAGUACGGCCGCAAGGUUGAAACUCAAGGAAUUGACGGGGGCCCGCACAAGCAGUGGAGUAUGUGGUUUAAUUCGA
rnacentral:rRNA from 1 species